rnacentral:rRNA from 1 species
CCUACGGGGGGCAGCAGUGAGGAAUAUUGGUCAAUGGCCGCAGGGCUGAACCAGCCAAGUCGCGUGAGGGAUGACGGUCCUAUGGAUUGUAAACCUCUUUUGUCAGGGAGCAAAGGGCGCCACGUGUGGCGCUUUGCGAGUACCUGAAGAAAAAGCAUCGGCUAACUCCGUGCCAGCAGCCGCGGUAAUACGGAGGAUGCGAGCGUUAUCCGGAUUUAUUGGGUUUAAAGGGUGCGUAGGCGGAAGGUUAAGUCAGCGGUCAAAUGUCGGUGCUCAACACCGGCCUGCCGUUGAAACCGGUCGUCUUGAGUGAGCGAGAAGUAGGCGGAAUGCGUGGUGUAGCGGUGAAAUGCUUAGAUAUCACGAAGAACUCCGAUUGCGAAGGCAGCUUACUAAACUGCCACUGACAUUGAUGCUCGAAAGUGUGGGUAUCAAACAGGAUUAGAUACCCUUGUAGUC